UCCGGCUUAUCACCGGCAGUUUCUUUAGAGUGCCCAACUAAAUGGUAGCAACUAAAGACGAGGGUUGCGCUCGUUGCGGGACUUAACCCAACAUCUCACGACACGAGCUGACGACAGCCAUGCAGCACCUGUGUUACGGUUCCCUUUCGGGCACUCCCCCAUCUCUGGAGGAUUCCGUACAAGUCAAGGGUAGGUAAGGUUUUUCGCGUUGCAUCGAAUUAAUCCACAUAAUCCACCGCUUGUGCGGGUCCCCGUCAAUUCCUUUGAGUUUUAACCCUGCGGCCGUACUCCCCAGGCGGUCGAUUUAACGCGUUAGCUCCGGAGGCCACAGUUCAUGACCACAACCUCCAAAUCGACAUCGUUUACAGCGUGGACUAC
rnacentral:misc_RNA from 1 species